UGUUGAGUUGUUAUCAACAUAAAUACAGAAACAGACACGAUUUUUGCACCGUUUUUUCUGAUAACGGAAUAGACUCCUUCAUGCGCAAGUUCCACUUGAGCUCGGCUGGUUCUUAUUAUAAAUAAUUGUGUAAUAUAUUUUUGCAGAUAAUUUCAAUUAUUGCGAGUGUUGUGGCUUAGAAACAAUUAGGCAGUUAAGAAUAAACAAGGCUCGGGCACUAUCAAACCUUUUUCCUAAAAAGCAAAAAGCUGCUUCUGCUGCAUCACAAGAUUUAUUUGAUGACUUUCAGGUUGAUAACGGAGAGUUGACGCUAAUCGAGGAUUCAUGAUGCUUCUUCGGACAACAAGAAAAAACAGCUACUGUCAGUCAGCAGUGAUGAUGCUUCUUCGGACAAAAAGGAAAAACAGCUGCUGUCAGUCAGCAGUGAUUUUAUUUCUUUAGAAGAAGAAGAGAAAGAAAACAUAUCAAAUGGCGGGCAGACCCCCGAAAAAACAUUUAUCCAUGGACAGUGGCAACCACGAAUAUCUCAGUCAGCGGCUGAUAAAGUAAUUGCAAGAAUGUAUAAUUGGGUGAAUUUCAACAAGUGCAUAUUUUUGCCUAAUUUUGGUGGAAAUUGUUAUUUGUGUAUUUUUAUUCUUUAAUUAUAGAUCAAAUUUAUUGGAAACUUAUACUGUUUCUAAAAUGAUUAAGACAUUAAAUUUUGUCCAGUAGUUUUUUAGAUUUUCCUUACACCAAAAUUAAGAGAACACCAAAAUUUAUAUUAAAGCACCAAAAUUAGAAAAUAUGCUGUCAGUCGGUCAUAUCUUAGUGCCAAGCUCAAGAAAUGGUUUUAAAUUUACCAGCACCGACUCCAAAAAUAUUAAUCAUGGUAUAUUGUCCUAAUAAAUAAAUAACGACGUACUUAUUUUCUACUUUUAAGUGAUUGUUGGCGUCGGUUUUAAUUUUUUUGUUAAAAUUAUUUUUAUUCAUGCUUUUUAGUUGAUUAGUCCUUGUUAUUGUCACUGAAGAGGGACAGUACCUAUGUUUAAUGUGAUUAAGACUAUAAUUUUCCAUUUUGUAAUGGAAAAUUAUAGUCUUAAUCACAAUCCAAGUGUAAAUAAUCUUCCUAGCAAAAUACAGGCUCCCUACUUUAAAUAUCGGCAACUAAAAAGUAUCAAUGUAUCAUGUGUCAAUGUAUGUAUCAACAAAUGAGUAUUGAGUAUCAUCUAACUCCUAACUUAUGUUGUUUGACCUUUCAUCAUCAGCUCAUCUUAAAUACCUGAAAUAAUACAACUGUAUGUACAUACCUACCUAAAAUAUUUAAAGAAUUAUCCUCCAACUCCUAAGCGUUAAGGAGUUUUACCUUCCAUCAUCACCUCAUCAACAUUAGAUGAUGACUACUUGAAUAACUUUAGAAAACGUAUUGCAUUCCUACAAAAUUUGAGGUUUACUCUCGAUUUCCCUAGGAUCCCAUCAUCAGAUCCUGACUUGGUGACAAUGGGACCACCACAUAAGUGUACCCUAUAGAACAAAAAAAGAAUUUUGAAAAUCGAUUCACAAUUGACGGAGUUAAGUCGGUUAAAAAUGCUUUGGUGCACCACCAAAAACACCAAAAUUGACUCACCAAAAUUAGAUUCUCGUUGAAAAAGCUAAAUUAUAUGAAAUCUGUUUUAAAUAUAACAAUAACAUUUUAACACAUGGUAUGAAAACAGUUCCUUUACAUUAUACGAGGAAUUCAACUAAAAAGAAUAGCUUAGAAAUCUUAUACAAAAAGACACCAAAAUUGCAGAAUUGUUGUCCGUUUAAAAAAAAACAACACAUUUACGUUUU